rnacentral:rRNA from 1 species
GAGUUUGAUCCUGGCUCAGAACGAACGCUGGCGGCGUGCCUAACACAUGCAAGUCGAACGUGAUCCAGAGCAUGCUCUGGUGAAAGUGGYGCACKGGUGAGUAACGCGUGGAUAACCCACCCUGGUAUCCGGGAUAACAUUCCGAAAGGGGUGSUAAUACCGGAUAAGCCCACGGGCUCUUUGGAGCYUGCGGGAAAAGGUGGCCUCUAUUUAUAAGCUACUGUAUCAGGAUGGGUCCGCGUACCAUUAGCUAGUUGGCGGUGUAACGGACCACCAAGGCGACGAUGGUUAGCUGGUCUGAGAGGAUGAUCAGCCACACUGGAACUGAGACRCGGUCCAGACUCCUACGGGAGGCAGCAGUGGGGAAUUSUGYGCAAUGGGGGAAACCCUGACGCAGCAACGCCGCGUGAGUGAUGAAGGCCUUUGGKCCGUAAAKYUCUGUCAGAGGGGAMGAAAKGAUAKARUSMUAAUMCCACUUUAUCUUGACGGUACCCUCAAGGGAAGCMCCGGCUAACUCCGUGCCAGCMGCCGCGGUAAUAC